GACGAACGCUGGCGGCGUGCUUAACACAUGCAAGUCGAACGGAAAGGCCCUGCUUUUGUGGGGUGCUCGAGUGGCGAACGGGUGAGUAACACGUGAGUAACCUGCCCUUGACUUUGGGAUAACUUCAGGAAACUGGGGCUAAUACCGGAUAGGAGCUCCUGCGGCAUGGUGGGGGUUGGAAAGUUUCGGCGGUUGGGGAUGGACUCGCGGCUUAUCAGCUUGUUGGUGGGGUAGUGGCUUACCAAGGCUUUGACGGGUAGCCGGCCUGGGAGGGUGACCGGCCACAUUGGGACUGAGAUACGGCCCAGACUCCUACGGGAGGCAGCAGUGGGGAAUAUUGCACAAUGGGCGGAAGCCUGAUGCAGCAACGCCGCGUGCGGGAUGACGGCCUUCGGGUUGUAAACCGCUUUCGCCUGUGACGAAGCGUGAGUGACGGUAAUGGGUAAAGAAGCACCGGCUAACUACGUG
rnacentral:rRNA from 1 species